GCAAAUAUAGUUUAAACAAAACAUUAGAUUGUGAAUCUAAAUAUAGGAGUUCAAAUCCCCUUAUAUGCC
rnacentral:tRNA from 1 species